GCAGUAGCCGCGGGAAUACAGAGGGUGCGAGCGUUAAUCGGAUUUACUGGGCGUAAAGCGUGCGUAGGCGGCUAAUUGAGUCGGAUGUGAAAUCCCCGAGCUUAACUUGGGAAUUGCAUUCGAUACUGGUUAGCUAGAGUGUGGGAGAGGAUGGUAGAAUUCCAGGUGUAGCGGUGAAAUGCGUAGAGAUCUGGAGGAAUACCGAUGGCGAAGGCAGCCAUCUGGCCUAACACUGACGCUGAGGUACGAAAGCAUGGGGAGCAAACAGGAUUAGAUACCCCCGUAGUCCCUGUCUCUUAUAC
rnacentral:rRNA from 1 species